rnacentral:rRNA from 1 species
ACAGGGAUUGCCUCAGUAACGGCGAGUGAAGCGGCAACAGCUCAAAUUUGAAAUCUGGCGGCCUCUGGGCCGUCCGAGUUGUAAUUUGAAGAGGAUGCUUUUGGCGAGGCGCCUUCCGAGUGCCCUGGAACGGGACGCCACAGAGGGUGAGAGCCCCGUAUGGUUGGACGCCGAGCCUCUGUAAAGCUCCUUCGACGAGUCGAGUAGUUUGGGAAUGCUGCUCAAAAUGGGAGGUAAACCCCUUCUAAAGCUAAAUACUGGCCAGAGACCGAUAGCGCACAAGUAGAGUGAUCGAAAGAUGAAAAGCACUUUGAAAAGAGAGUUAAAUAGCACGUGAAAUUGUUGAAAGGGAAGCGCUUGCGACCAGACUUGUGCCCGUCGAAUCAGCCGCCGCUCGCCGGCGGCGCACUUCGGCGGGCUCAGGCCAGCAUCAGUUCGCUGCAGGGGGAGAAAGGCGGCGGGAAUGUGGCUCUUCGGAGUGUUAUAGCCCGCCGCGCAAUACCCCUCGGCGGACUGAGGACCGCGCAUCUGCAAGGAUGCUGGCGUAAUGGUCGUCAGCGACCCGUCUUGAAACACGGACCAAGGAGUCGUCCUAAUAUGCGAGUGUUCGGGUGUAAAACCCCUGCGCGUAAUGAAAGUGAACGGAGGUGAGAGCUUCGGCGCAUCAUCGACCGAUCCUGAUGUUCUCGGAUGGAUUUGAGUAAGAGCAUAUUGGGCCGGACCCGAAAGAAGGUGAACUAUGCCUGUAUAGGGUAAAGCCAGAGGAAACUCUGGUGGAGGCUCGCAGCGGUUCUGACGUGCAAAUCGAUCGUCAAAUAUGGGCAU